GCGCCCGUAGCUCAGUUGGAUAGAGCAACAGACUUCUAAUCUGUAGGUCGCAGGUUCAAAUCCUGCCGGGCGUACCA
rnacentral:tRNA from 1 species